CUUAUACACAAAUGUUCAUAACAGCAUUAUUCAUAAUAGGCAGAGUGUGGAAAGAAACAAAUGUCUCUCCACUGGUGAACGGACACAUCCAUGUGGUGUGUCUGUCCUUACGGCGAAAUAUUAUUUAGCAGUCAAGAGGAAUGAAGUACUGAUUCAGUUAUAACAUGAAUGAACUCGAAACUUUAUGCUGUGUGAAGAAAGCCAGACAGAAAAGGCCACAUAUUACGUGGUUCCAUUUUUUUUUUUUUCAUGGCACGCCCAGAAUAGGCAAAUCUAUAGAGACAGAAAGCAGAUCAGCGGUUGUCUAGGGUUGGGGGGUGGCAAGGAGGAAAUGAAGAAUGACUGCUGAUGGAUGUGGGGUUUCUUUUUGAUCGACACAAAUGCUCCAAAAUUGAUGGUGGCGAUGGUUAUACAACUCUGCCAGCACACUAAAAACCCGUGAAUUGUGCGCUUGGAACGAGGUGUCUGUGUGUGAAUUACAUCUCCAUAAAGCUGUUAUAAAGACCAUUUGGAGGGUGAUGGCAUGUGAUCUUCAUGGCGUAAGCGUUAGCUCUGAUGAUGAUGGGGGCAGUGGGGUGGUGGUGGUUGCCCGUAACUGUUCGAAACACGCGGCGUGUCUUACUGUGAAGCAUUCUGUUGUAUAGGAUCUCCUCUAUCGAAGAUCUAGGUCACUAGUGGAUUAUGAAAAUGCUAACAAAGCACUGGAUAAAGCAAGAGCGAAAAACAAAGAUGUUCUUCAGGCCGAGACAUCCCAACAAUUAUGUUGUCAGAAAUUUGAAAAAAUAUCUGAAUCUGCAAAACAAGAACUUAUAGAUUUUAAGACGAGAAGAGUUGCCGCAUUCAGAAAAAAUUUAGUGGAACUGGCAGAGUUAGAACUGAAGCAUGCAAAGGGUAACCUACAGUUGCUGCAGAACUGCUUGGCAGUGUUAAAUGGAGACACAUAAGCCACACUCCGCCUUUGGUUAAAAAGGGCUGCCUUCCUUCAGAUUUUAUUUUUGUUUUCUUAAUGAGAUUAGGCAUUUACUGCUCACUGGAAACAAAAGAAACAGCUGACCAAGUGCAUCUACUCUCCUUUUUUUCUGAGAAGCGAUGGAGCGGUGCCGUCCACGGGUUUUGCGGGUCCGUCCGUCUGUGUGGUGGAACGCUGCCCUCCUGCAGCUCCCCGUGUGCUCCCUGGGACGGUUGUCCAUCGCCGUGCGCUCCUCCUCUUCCGAAGCCCAGCGUUCAGUCCUUUUUUAAGUAGCCUCUGUAACUGUCUUUAUUUUCUGAAUAGCGUUCCUUAUGGCUGCCAAUCUUAUUUCCCUUUAAGUAAUUUCUGAUGUUUAACCCUUUCAGAGAUGCAUUGUUCAGACAAGAUAAAGGUUGCCAUUACCUUUUGUUUUCUUUUGGUGUUUUUGUUAUGUUUUGUUUUGUUUUUUUAAAAACAUUGUAUGCCACCUUAGUUCAUCCAUGUAUCCUGGUAAAAGCAUCUUAAUCAGACUUAUUUUUAAUUAAUGAACAUUUCCUAGAAGUUUUGGGACAGACUUUAUGUAAUCUUUGUAAGUAUGAUUUCUGAUGAAAAGCGGCUGCAUUAGUAUGUUUGCCUUAAACUUGUAGACUAAACCGACUAUUGUCAAAUAAACCGUGGUAACAGUGA